GACGAACGCUGGCGGCGUGCUUAACACAUGCAAGUCGAACGGAAAGGCCUGCUUUCCCUUGUGGAUUGCGGGUACUCGAGUGGCGAACGGGUGAGUAACACGUGAGUGAUCUGCCCCCAACUUGGGUAUAAGCCUGGGAAACUGGGUCUAAUUCCCGAUAGGACUGCAGGGUGGUGCCUGUGGUGGAAAACGAUUUUCUAGUGGUUGGGGAUGAGCUCGCGGCCUAUCAGCUUGUUGGUGGGGUAAUGGCCUACCAAGGCGGCGACGGGUAGCCGGCCUGGGAGGGUGGACGGCCACAGUGGGACUGAGAUACGGCGCAGACUCCUACGGGAGGCAGCAGGGGGGAAUAUUGCACAAUGGGCGGAAGCCUGAUGCAGCGACGCCGAGUGGGGGAUGACGGGCUUCGGGUUGUAAACUCCUUUCGACCGCGAGGAAGCCACCUGGUUGGAAGGGUGGUGACGGUAGUGGUAGAAGAAGCACCGGCUAACUACGUG
rnacentral:rRNA from 1 species